GAGGCCCAUAUGAGGUUACAGCCGUUGGGGGAGGUGCGGAUAGAAGGUGGGCUCAGAUGAGAGCAGCUCGGUUGGGCUCAAAGCCCACACUGAGUCUCUGUCUGCCCCAAUUUAACCAUACGCGAUCAAAAGAAGUCAAGAAAAAAACCAGACGGUGAAGAACAAGGUCGAAAAUGCAGAGUGAAGAUGAUGAUGCUAGUGAUGCAGAUGAAGAAGGGAUAAAGAUUGAAGAAGCUAUUGAAGAGAAAAGUGAACUGGCCAAAUGCGUUUGUUUUAUGCAGGUUAACAUUUUCUUGGCACAACUAUUGGUGGAUGGAAAAAAAAAACAAGCUCGGUGUAAACUUCCUAUACAGGAAAUUAACUGAACUUAGAAUUAGGAAGGUGAAUUGUUCUUGGAGAAUUUAUGUAAAAUGUUGGGUUAUUAAAUGAAAUGAAAAUAUGAGAUGGUGUGAAAGUUGUAAUUGAAAUGGGAACAAGUUGUAAGUUAAAAAGAGAAAUUUGGACAUGAAUGUUUGAAAUUGAGUUGAGGUUAUAUUUGAA